UACAGAGGUCUCAAGCGUUGUUCGGAUUCAUUGGGCGUAAAGGGUGCGUAGGUGGCGCUGUAAGUCGGGUGUGAAAUUUCGGAGCUUAACUCCGAAACUGCAUUCGAUACUGCGGUGCUUGAGGACUGGAGAGGAGACUGGAAUUCAUGGUGUAGCAGUGAAAUGCGUAGAGAUCAUGAGGAAGACCAGUGGCGAAGGCGGGUCUCUGGACAGUUCCUGACACUGAGGCACGGAAGGCCAGGGGAGCAAACGGG
rnacentral:rRNA from 1 species